CACAAUGGCUUGGUCACGGAAGUGUUGGUGGAAUCUCUCAAGGUUGGCCUGCCAGUAAAUCCCAUCAUCUGGAAUGGGCUGAAGAGGAGAAAAGUAUUAUUAGAGAGAAACGUUUAAACAAUGCAGAGUUUUCUGCACUGGUGUGUGGAGAGGGGUCAAACUCUGGGCCUUGUGCACACUAGGUCACAGUUCUGCUAAAGGAUCAGAUGAAAGCUACGGAGAGGUCCACUAAAAUAUGCACAUGAGCACAAGUACAAGUGGACUCUGGAAUCUCCCAUGGAGCCAGACAAGUUGUGUGAACAACGGGCUAUACAUCUUUCUCCAUUAACAGAUCCUCCUGCCUUCAGGAUACAGGCCAAACCUUAGUUGAUCAACAUGUGCUAGUAUUCCAUGUGCUGCCCUUAAGGGGUUUAUGUUCUACCGAGGGCACAACAGCAAACACAUACAUAAACAAUAUGUAAUGUCAAACAUGAAUAUAAAUGCUGGAAGAUAAGGAAAUGGAAAAAUG